CUCCUUUCCUCCACCAGGGUGUGACAGGUAGGUGCAGCUGCACAACUGCACUGCAUCAAGAGCAAUCACUGAGGUGCCUCUUAAGCAGCUGAGACCUUAAAGGAGGCGUUGGAUUGUUUACCCUGCUGAGUGGUUGCUGUCAACAAGACCCUGUUCUGGAUAAAUCCUCUGUGGUUCUGGUUUACCUUGCUGGUUGUCAUCAAACCUGCUUCUUGGAGAACCCGCUAUGGUUCAGCCUCUUGCCCAUGGUAAAUACUUCAAUGAAUUUACCUCAGUCCAAGGACCGUUCUGGAUCUACACGAUUCGAGUUUCAAGAUCGCUUCAUCUGCCCCGCCUGUCCACUCUCCAAUGCUAUUCACCAUCUGGAGGAAUUUGCUCGCACAGCACACUUGUCUGUCGGCCUCAGUCUCAGUGGCUUGUUUAUGUCUCCUCAGACCCAACACACUCCUCUACUAGUUGCCUGGAACUCUUACAUUUAACAUUAAGAACCACCUGCCUGAUGGUAACCGCUCUGUCUUUCUCCUAGUGAACCGAUCCUUGAAGCCCGCUUUCUACGGAAUCCUGAGACUGCCCAAAAAACACUAUUUCAAUAAACUUGUUUUAACCUU